CAGAAGCCAUUCAGAGUAAAAACAAAAAACCAGAAAAUAUGAGAACCAAAACUCUGAACGUCCCCUCCGCCCUGCUCUGCUUCUUCUUUCUCAGCUGCCACCACCUCCUCCGCCAUGCACAAGCUCAAGUUCCCAGCACAGAAGGAUACACCUGCGCAGCCACAGCCAACCAAACCGCCUACCCAUGCCAGACCUACGCCUUGUACCGAGCCCUCUCCCCCGACUUCCUCGACCUCGCCGCCGUCGGAGACCUCUUCCAAGUCAGCCGCCUCAUGAUCUCCAACCCCAGCAACAUCUCCUCCCCGACUGCCCCCCUUGUCGCCGGCCAACCCCUCUUCGUCCCCCUCUCAUGCUCCUGCAACUCCCCCAACUCCUCCAUCUCCAUUUCCUACGCCAAUAUCUCCUUCACCAUCAAAUCCGGCGAUACUUUCUACCAGGUCUCCACCCACAACUUCCAAAACCUCACCACCUACCAGUCCGUCGAGGUCGUAAACCCUAAUCUGGAAGCCACCAACCUAACCAUCGGCGUCACCGCCUAUUUUCCGAUCUUCUGCAAGUGCCCCAACAGAACCCAGUUCGGAAACGGAACCAAUUACCUCAUCUCGUACGUUUUCCAGCCGUCUGACAACAUCUCGACCGUUGCUUCAUUUUUCGGGGUGCAAGCAAAGGCCAUAACCGAUUUAACGGCAACAACAUCCAGCCUUUUGACACGAUUUUCGUGCCGGUGGCUCGCCUUCCAGUACUCUCCCAACCCACUGUUGUUCCUUCUGCUGCACCGUCUGGGAAGACAGAGAGGAAAGGAGUGAUCAGAGGGCUGGCAAUUGGGCUGGGAAUUACCGGACUUGUGCUGAUUUUCGUUGUCGGGUUUUUGAUUUACAGAGACGGAUUGCUGAAGAAGAAGAUUGAUGGGAAGGGAGAUGAGGAGAAUAAGGUUCUGUACAGGAGCAAGCAGGGGUCGGAGAGGCGGAAGGAAAUGGAGGUUGGUUUGAUGGCGGAUGUUUCGGAUUGCUUGGACAAGUACAAAGUGUUUGGGAUUGAAGAGUUGAGAGAGGCCACAGAUGGGUUCAGAGAAAGUAGCUUGAUUGAAGGGUCCGUGUAUAAAGGCUCCAUUAAUGGAGAUUUGUAUGCCAUCAAGAAGAUGAAGUGGAAUGCCUACGAGGAGCUCAAGAUUUUGCAAAAGGUAAACCAUGGCAAUUUGGUGAAGCUGGAGGGUUUCUGCAUAGACUCGGAGGAUGAUUGUUGCUAUCUAAUUUACGAGUAUGUAGAAAAUGGUUCUCUUUAUUCAUUGCUGCAUGAAAACAAGAAUGAAAAAUUGAGUUGGAAGACAAGGCUGCAAGUUGCUAUUGACGUUGCAAACGGUCUCCAAUACAUUCACGAGCACACUAGGCCGAGGGUUGUGCACAAAGACAUCAAGAGCAGCAAUAUUCUCUUAGAUUCGAACAUGAGAGCCAAAAUAGCCAAUUUUGGGCUAGCAAAGUCUGGUUGCAAUGCCAUAACAAUGCACAUUGUUGGAACUCAAGGCUACAUUGCACCAGAGUAUCUAGCUGACGGGGUGGUGUCAACGAAAAUGGAUGUUUUUUCUUUUGGAGUGGUGUUAUUAGAGCUCAUUUCGGGGAAGGAGGCGAUUGAUGAAGAUGGAAAUGUUUUGUGGACAAGUGCUGGUAGGAUUUUGGAGGGAAAUGAGGAAGAGAAGGCAAGGAAACUCAGGGAGUGGGUGGACAAUGAACUUUUCUUGGAGUCAUGCUCAAUUGAGAGCAUACUGAAUGUUGUGACUGUUGCCAUUGCUUGUUUGCAUAAAGAUCCUUCAAAAAGGCCAACUAUGGUGGAUAUUGUCUAUGCCUUGAGUAAGAGUGAUGAUUUGUUUUUUGACAUCUCCGAUAAUGGAUCAUCGGCUCCCCCAGUAAGAGCAAGAUGAAUGGCGAGGAACUCUUUUGGCUUUCAUCACAUUUAGGGAAGGCAAGGGUUAGAGUCGAAUUCUUGCCGUGUCUAAGUAUUUAUUAUGUACCUGUAAAUAAAUGUCAUGUAUCUGGCAUUUUCGGGCAUGUGUUCGUACUCGUAAUAUUUUUAUCAUGGUGAGUAAAAUCUGUUAAUUACUGCUCAAGUGGUAGGAAAAAAAUCAUUUGGAGCAAAAACUCAAAUUCAAGAGCUAUGCAACCAA